UUUAAUUUAAUGAGGUUUCCUAGGUCAAUUGCUGCUAAACUGAUCUUUGUCAUAACCUUCCAAAGGUGUCUUCUCUUUCCUCCUGUCCCCACGUGACUGGCUCUGUGUGUCACUGCUGAAUAAAUUUCAUAGAAUAGAAUCAUAGAAUAUCCCAAGUUGGAGGGGACCCAUAAGGAUCAUCAAGUCCAACUCCUGGCACCGCACAGGUCUGCCCAAAAGUUUAGACCAUGUGACUAGGUGCACAGUCCAAUCGCUUCUUAAAUUCAGACAGGCUUGGUGCAGUGACUGCUUCACUGGGGAGCCUGUUCCAGUGUGCGACCGCCCUCUCGGUGAAGAACCUCUUCCUGAUGUCCAGCCUAAACUUCCCCUGCCUCAGCUUCACACCAUUCCCACGGGUCCUGUCACUGGUGAUAACAUAGAAUAGGUCAUCUGCCUCUCCACUCCCUCUCGCGAGAAAGUUGUAGACUGCAAUGAGGUCCCCCCUCAGCCUCCUCUAAUUUAAUAAUUAAAUAAAUAAAUAAAUUUACAUAACAAAACUAAAACAAACAGUGAUUUGACUAUGCAACUUCAUUAGUAAGUAGUUUUGUGACAUGAUUUCUCUGUUUAUAAGCAGAACUAUAACCUACAGCACAUGAUAUCAGCAAACCUUCGGAAAGUCAGACAGAAAACAGUCGGGCAAGUGAAUAAAGUUGCAUUUUACAUGAAAUCUAGCACUUCACAGUCUGGAAACUUGAAGCCCUUUCCAACCUUGUAGAACAUAAGCACAGAAAUGAGCAGAUAAGGAGGAGAAACUUGUGAGUGCUGGGUGGCAUCUGAUCAGCGAUUCACAUUACAAACAUGCUUCUCUACCUUGGCCCCAAAAUAAGGGAAAGCCCUGCUCUAGGCAUCAGCUCACUGAACAGAUAGGCCAGGCAACACAUUCAUGCAAAGGAAUGUCUCAAAGCAAUGCAGUCGGACACCAAGGACCACAGAUUCUGGGGCUGUGUCACAAAAAGGGCAAUUAUAUCCUGUUUCUAUUUUGACAGCAGUCAAGAUAUCCAGGCUGUGGCCGGUAUUGCCCCACCCAAAACCAGGGCAAGGUUAAAUAGCAACAGCAGUUACGAGGAGGAGGAAAGCUGCUCUACUCCUCCCCGCAGCGCAACAGAAAUACCAAGGCAAGAGUACUUCCCUAGAAGUUUCCCAACAUGGAACUGGCUCAAUUCUCUUACUCUGAAGGGAUUAAAACCUAUUUUAUGUAAAUCUGGAGAGAAGACUAAAUCAACUGAAGCAUUCUUCCUGCCAGAACUGUGCCACCAUGUGAGAAACACUGCAUAUUCACUGAACAUAAGAUCAACUCUGAGCAGGAAUGGGAAGCCAGUAAUGGAGGCAGAGUGACACUGAUUCUCCGAACUGCCGUACACAGAAGAAAAGGACCAUCAUACUCAGCUCAGCCACAGUGGGUGGAACAGGGUAGUAGUAUACAAGCAGUUGCUGCAAAAAGCAGUUAUGCAUGAUGGGUCCUGCUUUCCUGGAAACAGAUGAACAUCCGCCUGCUGACAGAAAAUUUGUGCCUGUAUCUCAUUAGAACUACGUGUCGAAGAAUUGUAAAUAUCACUACUGAAUGUUCACCUGGCUUGCGUUCUAGGAGCUGCUGGAAAUGAAAGACAGCUUGUUCAUAGUCUUGCUUCCUGAACAUGAGGUCAGCCAUCAUCUACAGUAUUGACAUAUUCAGAGAAAACAAAACAGAUUCUGUUUUAUAAUGGGAGCUGAAACUAUAAAGUGCUGCAGGAAUUUCACAAGUAUGGUGCCGGUUCCCAUCCCCACCCCUCAAUCUCUGGAGAAUAAACACCUUACACAGACACAGGACAAUAAUGAGCAGGCCUGCUCAUAGACUUCUAUGGCUUCAUCAGGCUUCAACAGUGAAAGACAAAAAACACCAAAGUCAACGACUGAGAUGAGACAUGUGAAGAAAAAAUCUGAUAGUACUUUUAAGAACAAGCGCCCAUACUACUGGUUCAUAAACUACAAUAAUUCUGAGAGAAGAAUGGUCACUGUGUGAUUGCUCGAACUAUAAAACCUAUUUAAAUAUGCAUGUCCAUGUUAAAGCUGAAUAUGGAAAGGAUCUGACAAAAGAGUUUGAAUUAAUUUCAGACUUUCUCCUCUGAGAUUUCUCUGCUGCUGCACAUACUAAUUAAGUUAAUAUAAAGCACAAGUGAAUUUAGUAUCAGAGAAGAUAAUCAUUUCUCCUCCACCUUGUAUAGCAUACAAAUUCCAUUUUGCUUUGUAAAUCUUUAUUAAGAAAACAAUUGUUAAUCACCUACAGUUCCCUAAACUAGUCAUCCAAUUAGUUAUGUCCUAACCCAAUCUGUUCUCUCAAAAUAUCAAUUUAAAUUUUUAAAUUUUGUAUCCUUCAAAUUUUUAUGUCCACCUGACCACACUGCUUGGUUUACAAAGAGUGAAUAAGAUUUCCAGUUCAUCAAGAACGCAAAGGAUUUCGGAAAUAUAUAUUUCAGAAUUCAGUAAUUUAAGAUUUUUAAAUAAAAGCUUUCUAUGUAAGAACUUAUUUAGAAAUAUUCUAAGCUUCAGAACUAUGCUAAAUAUCACCAACUUUUUUCAAAAUUAAAUUUAGCUCUCAUUUCAGAUUUCUGUUUACCUGAUGGGUGACUAUUCUUCAAGAAAAAAUUCUCUCCUUGAAUUUCCACCCAAAGAUUACUGGGAGAAAUGUCUUUUCAAUAGCUUUUAAUUUGAAUUUAGAACAGUUACAUUUGUAAUGAGUAAUUUCGUUUUUUACAUCCCUUAAGCGCUUUGCUUGCUAACUACAAAUGAGUAAGAGUCAGCAUGCUACAUUGCCUCAACUUGCCAAAGCCAACAAAUGACUCAAUCACUUAUUCAUUUCUAGCAAGCUCAUACCUCUUGAAUAUUCAUGUAUGCAUCACCAAGAAGAAGUAGAGUAUGAGCACUUGGAAUUUUAUCUACUAGGUCUCUGGAAAGAGAAGACAGAACUUUGCUCAAUAUUUAACAAGUCAAUAUUGGUAUUCAAACAACAAACAGUGCAUGACAAUAUUAUAUUAUUUUUAUUUUUAAAAUAAAAUAAAAAAAAACCUGAGAUAUCUUUCCAAAGUAGGAAUUCCAAUUACUGUUUUAAUGUUACAACAGUAAUUCAUUAUGUCACUGCACCUUUCUGACUCAUUUAGUAAAAAGGGAAAAAAGGAGCUCAUGAUGCUACCAUGACAUACACCUAGGAAAAUAAUAUAUACACACACAACACAA